rnacentral:rRNA from 1 species
GACGAACGCUGGCGGCGUGCUUAACACAUGCAAGUCGAACGGAAAGGCCCUGCUUUUGUGGGGUGCCCGAGUGGCGAAAGGGUGAGUAACACGUGAGUAACCUGACCUAGACUUUGGGAUAACUUCAGGAAACUGGGGUUAAUACCGGAUCGGAGCUCCUGCUGCAUGGUGGGGGUUGGAACGUUUCGGCGGUCGGGGUUGGACUCGCGGCUUAUCAGCUUGUUGGUGGGGUAGUGGCUGACCCAGGCUUUGACGGGUAGCCGGCCUGAGAGGGUGACCGGCCACAUUGGGACUGAGAUACGGCCCAGACUCCUACGGGAGGCAGCAGUGGGGAAUAUUGCACAAUGGGCGGAAGCCUGAUGCAGCAACGCCGCGUGCGGGAUGACGGCCUUCGGGUUGUAAACCGCUUUCGCCUGUGACGAAGCGUGAGUGACGGUAAUGGGUAAAGAAGCACCGGCUAACUACGUG